AUUGAACGCUGGCGGCAUGCCUUACACAUGCAAGUCGAACGCGAAAGUUCCUUCGGGAGCGAGUAGGGUGGCGGACGGGUGAGUAACGCGUGGGAAUCUGCCCAAUAGUGGGGGACAACCCGAGGAAACUCGGGCUAAUACCGCAUACGCCCUACGGGGGAAAGGCUUCGGCCGCUAUUGGAUGAGCCCGCGUCCGAUUAGCUUGUUGGUGGGGUAACGGCCCACCAUGGCGACGAUCGGUAGCUGGUCUGAGAGGACGACCAGCCACACUGGGACUGAGACACGGCCCAGACUCCUACGGGAGGCAACAGUGGGGAAUCUUGGACAAUGGGCGAAAGCCUGAUCCAGCAAUGCCGCGUGUGUGAAGAAGGCCUGCGGGUUGUAAAGCACUUUCAGUGGGGAAGAUUAUGACGGUACCCACAGAAGAAGCACCGGCUAACUCCGUGCCAGCAGCCGCGGUAAUACGGAGGGUGCGAGCGUUAAUCGGAAUUACUGGGCGUAAAGGGCGCGUAGGUGGUCUGGUAAGUCGGAUGUGAAAGCCCCGGGCUCAACCUGGGAAUUGCAUUCGAUACUGC
rnacentral:rRNA from 1 species